rnacentral:rRNA from 1 species
GAUGAACGCUGGCGGCGUGCUUAACACAUGCAAGUCGAGCGAGAAGUUUUGAAAAGAUUCUUCGGAUGAAAUUUAAAAUGGAAAGCGGCGGACGGGUGAGUAACGCGUAAGCAACCUGCCCCAUACAAAGGGAUAGCAUUUGGAAACGAAUAUUAAUACCUUAUGAAACUUAACUAGUGCAUGCUAGGUAGGUCAAAGAUUUAUCGGUAUGGGAUGGGCCUGCGUCUGAUUAGCUAGUUGGUGAGGUAACGGCUCACCAAGGCGACGAUCAGUAGCCGACCUGAGAGGGUGAACGGCCACAUUGGAACUGAGACACGGUCCAAACUCCUACGGGAGGCAGCAGUGGGGAAUAUUGCACAAUGGGGGAAACCCUGAUGCAGCAACGCCGCGUGAACGAGGAAGGCCUUUGGGUCGUAAAGUUCUGUUCUAGGUGAUGAAAACUGACAGUAACCUAGGAGAAAGCCCCGGCUAACUCCGUG